rnacentral:tRNA from 3 species
GCCUCCCUAGCUCAGUGGUAGAGCGCCCGCCUUGUAAGCGGAAGGUCGUCAGUUCAAUCCUGACGGGGGGCUCCA